rnacentral:misc_RNA from 1 species
CCCUCCCCUCUUUUUCUCUUUCCAUACACAAUUUUUCUCUUGUUAACUCCCUUUCUCUCGCGGUCUCUCCCCCCAAUUUUAAACUAUUCUGAUUCCAAGUCACCAGUUUUCUACAUCCGAAUGUUUAUUUCAGCUUUCUAUAUAAAAUUCAUUUGAAAAUAAAAUGUAUUAUUACGUCAGUUUGCUCAUAGUUCUGUUCAUCUUUUGGAGUGACAAAAUUGAUAAAAACCUGCUUCCGGAUAAAUUGUUGGCGAAACUUUCACAUAAAUGCAUUAACUCACUCUCUUAUGCUUGGAUUUUGUUCAAUGGAGUUUUUCUCAUGGUAUAUUCUAAUUAGUAUUGUCUAGUUAUUAUUUUAUUUUUCUCAAUUUUCUUAAAUGUUCUUUAAAAUGGGAAUUUAAUAAAGGUUUAGGAACUGUUCAGAAAUAAACCAAGUGGAAUCGAAUGGAAUUUUAUAGCUUAUGACGAGGAGCCAAGAGGAGUUGGCUUUACUUCAGUGCCAUGCAAGGGUACCUCUUGCCUUUAAGCAAAAGUCAUGUAAAGAAGAAUGUGCAAAUGCAGAGCCAAAAAGGGCCGUCUCCACAUAUGGGGUCUUAACAGUGCAACAUGUGAAGACCCAAAUUUCAUUUUGUCGCCUAAUAUUGAAUUAUUUUUUGGGAGUAAAUCAGCCUAAGCACACAUAAAUUUUGAGCGCUUGAGCUAUGCAAUGUGACUGGUAAGAUAUGCAGCGGAAAUUGUAAUCAGUAAAUUGAUAAUCGCUGCUGAAUGAACAUUCAUAAUGUUUGUGCUAGAAUUAUUUCUGAAGACCCAUAGAUAACUUCUAUUGGAGUACAAGUUACAGUCAGGUGCUGUCCUUUUGUUUCUCAAUGGAUAUCAUCAGAUCUCGUGUUUGUGCACAUUGGUUUAUGAGCAGCGUUUGUGCACAUUGGUUUAUGAGCAGCGAAGUUCAUUUUUUAUCGCUAGACCCAUCCAGGACAUCAGGUUCACUCACACCAUGCUACUAGCUUAGGUCUGUACUAGGUAUGACUAAUGCCUUCCACAAGAUGAUACCUAAAGAAAUUUCAACCACUGUCUAAGGAUUCUCAAGAUUUAAUAUGAUUGUAAAGUUUAAAAGUUCCAUCAGUAUUCAUGCAACAGAGGAACUUACGAUUGAGGGGAUGAAAUUCGAAAGUCCUAUGAAGACGAGUUAUUUCUUAAGCAAUU